rnacentral:rRNA from 1 species
CCAAUAGCGUAUAUUAAAGUUGUUGCAGUUAAAAAGCUCGUAGUUGAAUUUCGGGAUCAUCAGGUUGGUCGUGCCUCUGGUAUGUACUGAUUUCGAUGGUUCCUCCUUCUUGAAGAUCCGUAAUGCCAUUAAUUUGGUGUUGCGGGGAAUCAGGACUGUUACUUUGAAAAAAUUAGAGUGUUUAAAGCAGGCAAUCGCUUGAAUACAUUAGCAUGGAAUAAUGAAAUAGGACGUUCGAUCCUAUUUUGUUGGUUUCUAGGAUUGACGUAAUGAUUAAUAGGGAUAGUUGGGGGCAUUAGUAUUCAAUUGUCAGAGGUGAAAUUCUUGGAUUUAUUGAAGACUAACUACUGCGAAAGCAUUUGCCAAGGAUGUUUUCAUUAAUCAAGAACGAAAGUUAGGGGAUCGAAGACGAUUAGAUACCGUCGUAGUCUUAACCAUAAACUAUGCCGACUAGGGAUCGGAUGAUGUUAAUUUUUUAAUGACUCAUUCGGCGCCUUACG